AAGACUGCUCAAAAUCUCCUCAGAGCUCAGAACUUCAGUUGGAAACCCUGGCCUGAGAAUUCCAACAGAUUUUUAUCUCUCAUUCUAAACUGGUUUAAGAUCAUUUGACAGAAUUUUUCUCUCCUGCCACUUAACUUAUCAGAAAACUAUUCCAAAUCCUAUUCAAUAAUAUUCCCAAUAAUCUACAUGUAAAAAUAAAAUUUAAAUCACAUUUUAAAAAAGAAUUAUUGAGAAGGGAAGAAUGUCUUUGCCAGGAACACCCCAUGGUCAGCAUGGUCCAUAGCAUCAUGAAGAGCUGGAUAUGACUUAAUGACUGAACAAAGGCUGAAUAGUUGCAUUGAUCCUAUGGAUCCUGGUAUCACAUUGAGCUGUGUUAGGAAACCUAUGGAAUUCAUGCAGGAGGGAGCUGUUUCCUUUCACCUCUCCACAAGAGACUGAGAACAUUUCUCACAUCCACCCCUCUGUACAGCAGCCCAAUGGAAGAGCUUCCCUCAUCCACUGUCUGGGUGUGCAAAGGUAGAGUGUUACUAUGCUGAGGAGCACAACAAUAGCUACCACAGUUUAUGUGCUGCUGGAUGGACUUGCAAAACCUUCCUAUUGAAUAUUAAUGGUUGCGAAGAAAAUGGAUACCAGCAUGGAGCUAUCUGUGAAGAUGGAAUUAAUGAAUACAGGUGUGGGUGUCUUCAAGGAGGUGAUGGAUUCUUCUGCGGAAUAAAGACAAAUAUGUGUGUGUCUGAGACCUGUAAAAAUGGAUCUACCUACAUGUGUUUAAAUGACCAUGUCUUCUGGCAGUGUGACACUGGAUUUAUAGGAGGAGCCUCCUGUUGUUCAUUUAAUAUAAAUGGGAAUACUUGUGAACUCAUUUGAUAAAAACAACAUCUACAUUCUAUUCCAGAUAUUUGAGACUAUCAGCUGAGAAAUUACUGAACAAAUUAUAUCCUUUUAAUUGUAUCAUAAUUAUUAUACUUUUAGUUAUAUAAUUUAUAUCUGUAGUGCUUAACAUAGUGCCUCUCAUAUAAUGGGCACUAAAUAAAUGAUUAUCGACUGAGCA
rnacentral:lncRNA from 1 species